GUGGGGAAUCUUCCGCAAUGGACGAAAGUCUGACGGAGCAACGCCGCGUGAGUGAUGAAGGUCUUCGGAUUGUAAAGCUCUGUUAAUCGGGACGAAAGAGCCUAGUGUGAAUAAUGCUAGGAAGUGACGGUACCGGAAUAGAAAGCCACGGCUAACUACGUGUCAGCAGCCGCGGUAAUACGUAGGUGGCAAGCGUUGUCCGGAAUUAUUGGGCGUAAAGCGCGCGCAGGCGGAUCUGCCAGUCUGUCUUAAAAGUUCGGGGCUUAACCCCGUGAUGGGAUGGAAACUACAGAUCUAGAGUAUCGGAGAGGAAAGUGGAAUUCCUAGUGUAGCGGUGAAAUGCGUAGAUAUUAGGAAGAACACCAGUGGCGAAGGCGACUUUCUGGACGAAAACUGACGCUGAGGCGCGAAAGCCAGGGGAGCGAACGGGAUUAGAAACCCCAGUAGUCC
rnacentral:rRNA from 1 species